AACUACGAGUCCCGACGUGCCGCGCGCGGCAUGCAGAAGCUUCACUGAGCGGGCACUGGAGGUCGCGAGCACGUUGCUAGUGGGCGCGGCUGGCGGGGCCGGGGGCGGCAGGGGGCUAGCGUCCGGCUGAGCCCGGCGGGUUCCUGCACGCGGACCCACGCUUUGUCGGGCUGCUCUGCUGAGUGACACCGCCGUGGCAUCCGAGGAGCUGUGGUCCAGCCUGCGCGGCGGGAAGCGGCGGCGGCGGCUCCAGCGUCCUAAGAGAUUGCAACACCUGCUCGGUAUACCGUGACUUUGGGAGGAACAUCUGUCACUGUGAAGUAUCUGCGCAGUCAUGGCUACAUGUCCACGCCGCCACCCGUCAAGGAGUAUCUGCAGGACAGGAUGGAAGAGACAAAGGAGCUUAUCACAGAGAAAAUGGAAGAAACAAAAGAUAGACUCACUGAAAAGUUACAAGAAACCAAAGAAAAAGUUUCCUUUAAGAAAAAAGUGGAAUAAGGUGCCUUAUAUAGCAGUAUAGAAAAUUCCUGCACUUUAACCCUUUGGAAACUAUGGGCAAAGAUACAUGUGUCUGAUUAUUUUUUUGGUUAGUUGCCGAAAUAUACUAGUUCUCUGAGGGUUAAAGAAGUAAAAUACCUUUUUAAAGUUAAAUAUCACUAGAAAAAUCAGUGUUAUUACAAGGGAAGAAAUGAACCCAGUUUAAGAAUUUGCCAUCAGUAGCAGUAUUAAGCAGUGGUUAAUGUCUUAGAAGUCAGACUUCUUUUUCAAGGUCUUCAGAACCACACUUGAUUUCUGUUUUGUUGCAGCUGUAAUUGACACAUACUAGGCAGCUGACUCCUUGAAUAUCCAGUGUGACCCAUAAAAUAGUCUGUUAAUACCGGAUCUUAAUUUUUAUGUUAUUCAUUAAGAUUUUAACUAUAUUCAGUACGUAAUUUGGAGACAAACUAGCAUCAUCAAAACUGCCUGUAAAUAAGGUGUUUAGUCUUUCUAUAAAAACAGAAUAGAGCAGUUACCUACCAGUUAAAAUAUCUUAUAUGAAGAAAAUAGAAUAAAGAUCCAGUCAUAUAUGUAAAUAAGAUGUACUGAUUGUACGUA
rnacentral:lncRNA from 1 species